rnacentral:miRNA from 1 species
UGAGGUAGAUUGUUGGAUGACU